AUUCAUGGUCAUAGUGCCUUGAAUGUGCUUGAUCUCAUCUUAUCUCAGGAGCUAAGCAGGGUCUCAUUGCUUCACGUUUCUCUCCAUUUAGUUUGGUGUUGGCUACUGGUAUACUGUAUAUG
rnacentral:rRNA from 1 species